CAUAAAUCAAUAAUUGAUUAAUCCAAAAAAAUCAAAAAUUAUUUGGAUUGCUGGUUUGUGUUUUCUCAGGAUUCAUGCUUGGCUGUUUGUCCUCCUUCUGCUCGUUUGUUCUCAUGUCUAGGCUAAGAAAUCAACGCUCCCCUGCAGCUCAAACACCGGUUUGUUGCGGUUAUUCUAUUUCAUUUAUUUGACAUUUUACUUGUAAAGUUUAGGUAUUUUUACCGCAUUUUCUCUUAAGUGAAUCAACAGGUGAGGCUGAGCACAGUUAAAGCAUGCAAUCAAUAUGACCGGAUAUGAUAAUGAAUUGGUCUUCAAAUUAAAAUCAAACAUUUGCAUGACCUUUUUUUCUAUUGUCAGUUUCAGCUAUCCCUGAAAACCGAGAAGAAAUUGAGGAAGAGGAGGGGGAGCUGCAGGCCAACCCGGGUGAGGUCAGCGUGCAGGAUGAAGUGGAACUGCAGGGGAAUGAUUGCUCUACGCAGCGCUCCGAUACAGACCAAGGAGAUGAUCUGGAGGAAGUGACAGACGAGAGGCCCAUGGUCGGCCAGAAUGAGUUCAGAGUGAUAUGUGAAGCUAUGAGUGGGAUGCUGCACGAGAGCCACUUUGCCUCAGGGAGGUGUGGGGACAGUAUUCGGACGGAAGACCGUUUGAUGAGUCCAGUGGAGUUCGUGGAGCAGGGUUCAGCAAUGCCUAACGCCCUCUGGAGGAGGGACAUCCAAUGGGAAGGACAGCCGCUGAGCAGCAGUCUCAUUGAGGUAACACACUUUCUGUGUGUGCGUGAAUGAUACUAAUGUGAACUCACACCCACACCUAUGCCAUAUUUUUUUUUUGCUGAUUUGGAAUGGGGUCCCAUAUGUCGUCAUAAAGGAUCUAAGCUCCUCCCGUUUCUCUGCCUUGCCCGACCAGAGAAUUUUGCCCGCCAAUGAGACACGACCGUGCGAGCGCCACUGUAACGCAAGUGUUUACUGUUGGUGUUAUGGCGCAUAACAAGCCGGUUCUUUGACGUAUCUUGUAUUUCUACAGCGAGACUGUCGUUGGGGUUAUCUCAGCCAUGGUUGAGAAGGAAUUGGGGGAAAGGAACUUUGGCUUUGACUCCCUAAAGUACAUGAACCACGACAUGGAGGAGAAAGGGAUUGUUGGCCGCAAAUGACUCCCGCUUGAGCCCCGCUUCCCGCUUCCCGCUGAGGGACCGCGGUGGUGCUCGGCGGGAGACAACCGCUGUCAAUAAUCGCGGGCAAAAAUCCCUUUGUUCUCCAUGUCGUGGUUCAGUCUACUUCAGAUUGAUGUGGACGUGGAAGAACCAGAGAUGUCGGAGAACCCGACGCGGCCGUUUGAGAUUCAUAAUAACGUGCUUACGUCUCUGCGUCUAAAACGACCCUAAAUCGGCCUUUAGGGGCAAGAGAGUUGGGUGUAAGGUUUGAAAGUUCAUGCCUGCAUGAGCAAACUACUAGUGAUCAAUCACUUUGGUUCUGUUUAAAAUAUCUAAAUUCUACAACCGUGUUUGAAUCUAGAUUUAAUAACUUAUCUGUUAACACAAAAGGCUAAACACACCCACAAUCAGCCCAGCCUGGUAAGACAUAGGGGAGUUUAUAUCCUAAUAUGAGGAACCUUUUUCCAGUAGCUUAAUGUGUGUGUGUGUGUGUGUGUGUGUGUGUGUGUGUGUGUGUGUGUGUGUGUGUGUGUGUGUGUGUGUGUGUGUGUGUGUGUGUGUGUUGUGCAACCCCGUUGCAGGACGGACACCUGACAUGCCCGGGAUAUAAUAAGUGCAAGGUAACUUUCCAUAAAUCAAUAAUUGAUUAAUCCAAAAAAAUCAAAAAUUAUUUGGAUUGCUGGUUUGUGUUUUCUCAGGAUUCAUGCUUGGCUGUUUGUCCUCCUUCUGCUCGUUUGUUCUCAUGUCUAGGCUAAGAAAUCAACGCUCCCCUGCAGCUCAAACACCGGUUUGUUGCGGUUAUUCUAUUUCAUUUAUUUGACAUUUUACUUGUAAAGUUUAGGUAUUUUUACCGCAUUUUCUCUUAAGUGAAUCAACAGGUGAGGCUGAGCACAGUUAAAGCAUGCAAUCAAUAUGACCGGAUAUGAUAAUGAAUUGGUCUUCAAAUUAAAAUCAAACAUUUGCAUGACCUUUUUUUCUAUUGUCAGUUUCAGCUAUCCCUGAAAACCGAGAAGAAAUUGAGGAAGAGGAGGGGGAGCUGCAGGCCAACCCGGGUGAGGUCAGCGUGCAGGAUGAAGUGGAACUGCAGGGGAAUGAUUGCUCUACGCAGCGCUCCGAUACAGACCAAGGAGAUGAUCUGGAGGAAGUGACAGACGAGAGGCCCAUGGUCGGCCAGAAUGAGUUCAGAGUGAUAUGUGAAGCUAUGAGUGGGAUGCUGCACGAGAGCCACUUUGCCUCAGGGAGGUGUGGGGACAGUAUUCGGACGGAAGACCGUUUGAUGAGUCCAGUGGAGUUCGUGGAGCAGGGUUCAGCAAUGCCUAACGCCCUCUGGAGGAGGGACAUCCAAUGGGAAGGACAGCCGCUGAGCAGCAGUCUCA